AGUGAACGCUGGCGGUAGGCCUAACACAUGCAAGUCGAACGGCAGCACAGUAAGAGCUUGCUCUUACGGGUGGCGAGUGGCGGACGGGUGAGGAAUACAUCGGAAUCUACUUUUUCGUGGGGGAUAACGUAGGGAAACUUACGCUAAUACCGCAUACGACCUACGGGUGAAAGCAGGGGAUCUUCGGACCUUGCGCGAUUGAAUGAGCCGAUGUCGGAUUAGCUAGUUGGCGGGGUAAAGGCCCACCAAGGCGACGAUCCGUAGCUGGUCUGAGAGGAUGAUCAGCCACACUGGAACUGAGACACGGUCCAGACUCCUACGGGAGGCAGCAGUGGGGAAUAUUGGACAAAGGGCGCAAGCCUGAUCCAGCCAUACCGCGUGGGUGAAGAAGGCCUUCGGGUUGUAAAGCCCUUUUGUUGGGAAAGAAAAACAGCAGGUUAAUACCCCGCUGUUCCGACGGUACCCAAAGAAUAAGCACCGGCUAACUUCGUG
rnacentral:rRNA from 1 species